UGGGGAAUAUUGGACAAUGGGCGCAAGCCUGAUCCAGCCAUGCCGCGUGAGUGAUGAAGGCCCUAGGGUUGUAAAGCUCUUUUGUGCGGGAAGAUAAUGACUGUACCGCAAGAAUAAGCCUCGGCUAACUUCGUGCCAGCAGCCGCGGUAAUACGAAGGGGGCUAGCGUUGCUCGGAAUCACUGGGCGUAAAGGGUGCGUAGGCGGGUCUUUAAGUCAGGGGUGAAAUCCUGGAGCUCAACUCCAGAACUGCCUUUGAUACUGAGGAUCUUGAGUUCGGGAGAGGUGAGUGGAGCUGCGAGUGUAGAGGUGAAAUUCGUAGAUAUUCGCAAGAACACCAGUGGCGAAGGCGGCUCACUGGCCCGAUACUGACGCUGAGGCACGAAAGCGUGGGGAGCAAAC
rnacentral:rRNA from 1 species